UGGGGAAUAUUGCGCAAUGGACGAAAGUCUGACGCAGCAACGCCGCGUGGGUGACGAAGGCCCUUGGGUCGUAAAGCCCUGUCAGGAGGGAAGAAUAGGCGGGUGGUUAAUACCCAUCUGCACUGACGGUACC
rnacentral:rRNA from 1 species